AAGGAAUAUUGGACAAUGGAGGCAACUCUGAUCCAGCCAUGCCGCGUGAAGGAAUAAGGCCCUAUGGGUUGUAAACUUCUUUUAGACGGGACAAAACCCCUUUACGUGUAAAGGGUUGAUGGUACUGUCAGAAUAAGCAUCGGCUAACUUCGUGCCAGCAGCCGCGGUAAUACGAAGGAUGCAAGCGUUAUCCGGAAUUAUUGGGUUUAAAGGGUGCGUAGGCGGACUAAUAAGUCAGUGGUGAAAGCCUGCAGCUUAACUGCAGAAUUGCCAUUGAUACUGUUAGUCUUGAGUACAGUUGAGGUAGGAGGAAUGUGUCAUGUAGCGGUGAAAUGCUUAGAUAUGACACAGAACACCGAUUGCGAAGGCAGCUUGCUAAGCUGUAACUGACGCUGAGGCACGAAAGCGUGGGGAGCAAAC
rnacentral:rRNA from 1 species